rnacentral:tRNA from 1 species
AAACUAGUAAGUUAAGUAAACUGUGGGGUUCAUGAUUCCAUUAUACGCGUUAGUGUCUAGUUGA